rnacentral:lncRNA from 1 species
CAGAUGGGGAAGCUGAGGCCCAGAGAAGUUAAGUAAGUUGUCUAAGUUCACAAAGUUACCAGAAGAUUGUGGAGUGGUCUUCCAGGGAGAGUUAUCUUGUAUCAGGAAGGAGAGAUGAUUACUUAGGAAAGCCCAAGAAACAACAGGUAUUUGAAAGCUAUAGCAGUUCAUCUGGGGUUGAUCUGGGAGCAUACAGCAAAAAAAGAGCUAAAAUGCAAGGCACCAACGUAGAAAAGCCCACCUGGUCUCUCUUCUUAGGGUGGCUCCUCUCUGUCUCUCUGCCUCUGCCUCUUGUCCUAGCCCAGCAUGGCCGCAGGUCCCAGGUUCUGUGACAUCACAGUGCAGUGCCCACAGCUCACUGUUGGUUCCUGCCAUUGAGAUUAUCUGAUUGGCCACUGGCCAGCCAAUGGUGGAUCAGACUUUGGAGCAGGUGAUCCUUGGACGCCCACAGUACAUCACCUUCAUGAGCGCAUCAGUGAACACCAGUCUAAGGAAGACAUCUCUGAACGUAAUUUUGGAGAUUUUGAUGAGUUCCAUUGAAACAAGGAGGAAUGUGAUGUCCAGUAUCAGUUCUGCAGACCCAAGGACAAAGAAAAUUCUGUGAUAAACUCAUCCAGUGUGACUGUAAUGUGGGUAUCUAUUUGAUACCUCCAAGUAACUGUUUAUUCUUGUGCCAGUUGAGUAGAUGGUACGGGCCAGUUGGUGUUGAUUAGUGAACCACGGACAAAGGGCAUAUGUCACAUGAGUUGCUCCUGGAUAAAGUCACCCAGUCACUUCCUGAUGAAUAUCCUGCAUAAACUCCAAAGACAAAAGAGAGUUAAGGUUGUUUUUCUCACCUUAGACCAGGCAGUGAUAGAAGAACUGGGGGAAGAGAUAAUUGUAUUUAUCUUGGUGAGGGUGACAAAUCAUGGCAAAUGAGCAAAAUGAAAAAGGAUACAAGACACCGGACUUUCAAAUCAACAAUUGUUUCAAAAGACUCCUACUGGAUUCCUGCUAGUGAUGGGAGAAAAUUAUCAUUCUGCUAGUUAAUCUGUAGCCAGAGAUGAUUAAGGAGGUCAUUAAAGGAAAACAAGCUGCCCACCAUGCUGAUGCCUGGUUGUUCAGAUCGUUGAGGUGGUGUAGAGAUGACGCACACUGGCUCAGUUUACCCACAUUUGGAUCUACGGACCUGCAAG